UACAGAGGUCUCAAGCGUUGUUCGGAUUCAUUGGGCGUAAAGGGUGCGUAGGCGGCGCGGUAAGUCGGGCGUGAAAUCUCGGAGCUUAACUCCGAAGCUGCAUUCGAUACUGCCGUGCUUGAGGACUGGAGAGGAGACUGGAAUUUACGGUGUAGCGGUGAAAUGCGUAGAUAUCGUAAGGAAGACCAGUGGCGAAGGCGGGUCUCUGGACAGUUCCUGACGCUGAGGCACGAAGGCCAGGGGAGCAAACGGG
rnacentral:rRNA from 1 species